AUUGAACGCUGGCGGCAGGCCUAACACAUGCAAGUCGAGCGAGCGGCGGACGGGUGAGUAAUGUAUGUGGACUGCCCGCUAGAGGGGGAUAACUACUGGAAACGGUAGCUAAUACCGCAUACUAUCGGAUAACCCAUAUGGGAUUAGCUAGUAUGUGAGGUAAAGGCUCACCACGGCAACGAUCCGUAGCUGGUUUGAGAGGACGACCAGCCACACUGGGACUUAGACACGGCCCAGACUCCUACGGAGGCAGCAGUGGGGAAUUUUGGACAAUGGGGGAAACCCUGAUCCAGCCAUCCCGCGUGUAUGAUGAAGGCCUUCGGGUUGUAAAGUACUUUUGGCAGAGAAGAGGUAUCUGCAGAAUAAGCACCGGCUAACUACGUGCCAGCAGCCGCGGUAAUUC
rnacentral:rRNA from 1 species